rnacentral:rRNA from 1 species
CCCGCGUGCAGGAUGAAGGCCCUAUGGGUCGUAAACUGCUUUUAUACACCAAGAAAAACUCCGAUGCGUUGGGGCUUGACGGUAGUGUAUGAAUAAGCAUCGGCUAACUCCGUGCCAGCAGCCGCGGUAAUACGGAGGAUGCAAGCGUUAUCCGGAUUCAUUGGGUUUAAAGGGUGCGUAGGCGGCUUUUUAAGUCAGUGGUGAAAUCCUGCCGCUUAACGGUAGAAUUGCCAUUGAUACUGAAGAGCUUGAGUCCAGUUGAGGUAAGCGGAAUGUGUAUUGUAGCGGUGAAAUGCUUAGAUAUUACACAGAACACCAAUUGCGAAGGCAGCUUACUAAACUGGCACUGACGCUGAUGCACGAAAGCGUGGGGAGCGAACAGGAUUAGAUACCCUGGUAGUCCACGCCGUAAA